rnacentral:rRNA from 1 species
UACGUAGGCAGCAAGCGUUGUUCGGAAUUACUGGGCGUAAAGAGUGUGUAGGCGGUGCUCCAAGUCUGGUGUGAAAUCUCCCGGCUUAACUGGGAGGGUGCAUUAGAAACUGGAAUGCUAGAGGAUGGGAGAGGUAAGCGGAAUUCCUGGUGUAGCGGUGAAAUGCGUAGAUAUCAGGAGGAACACCUGUGGCGAAGGCGAUCACCUGGGGUUGUUCUGACGCUGAGGAGCGAAAGCUAGGGGAGCAAACGGG